rnacentral:rRNA from 1 species
AGAGUUUGAUCCUGGCUCAGGACGAACGCUGGCGGCGUGCCUAACACAUGCAAGUCGAGCGGGGACAGGCAGGAGGAGAGCUACGGCAGGAAUCCGGCCUGUUCGAGCGGCGGACGGGUGAGUAACGCGUGAACAAUCUGUCCCUGACAGGGGGAUAACACAUGGAAACAGGUGCUAAUACCGCAUGAGACCACAUUGCCACAUGGCAGAGGGGUCAAAGGAGGAAUCCGGUCAGGGGUGAGUUCGCGUCUGAUUAGCUGGUUGGUGAGGUAACGGCCCACCAAGGCGACGAUCAGUAGCCGACCUGAGAGGGUGAACGGCCACAUUGGAACUGAGAGACGGUCCAAACUCCUACGGGAGGCAGCAGUGGGGAAUAUUGGGCAAUGGGCGAAAGCCUGACCCAGCAACGCCGCGUGAGGGAAGAAGGUUUUCGGAUUGUAAACCUCUGUCCCUGGGGACGAAGGGAGUGACGGUACCCAGGGAGGAAGCCCCGGCUAACUACGUGCCAGCAGCCGCGGUAAUACGUAGGGGGCGAGCGUUGUCCGGAAUGACUGGGCGUAAAGGGCGCGUAGGCGGCUGUUUAAGUUAGGAGUGAAAGUCCAGCUUUUAAGGUUGGAAUUGCUUUUAAUACUGGACGGCUUGAGUGCGGAAGAGGUAAGUGGAAUUCCCCAGUGUAGCGGUGAAAUGCGUAGAGAUUGGGAGGAACACCAGUGGCGAAGGCGACUUACUGGGCCGUAACUGACGCUGAGGCGCGAAAGCGUGGGGAGCGAACAGGAUUAGAUACCCUGGUAGUCCACGCGGUAAACGAUGAAUGCUAGGUGUAGGGGGUAUCGACCCCUUCUGUGCCGGAGUAAACGCAAUAAGCAUUCCGCCUGGGGAGUACGGCCGCAAGGUUGAAACUCAAAGGAAUUGACGGGGGCCCGCACAAGCAGCGGAGCAUGUGGUUUAAUUCGACGCAACGCGAAGAACCUUACCAGGUCUUGACAUCAAUCCAGUGCGCUAGAGAUAGCGCAGCCCUUCGGGGGGAGAAGACAGGUGGUGCAUGGUUGUCGUCAGCUCGUGUCGUGAGAUGUUGGGUUAAGUCCCGCAACGAGCGCAACCCUUAUGAUCAGUUACUAACGGGUAGAGCCGAGGACUCUGAUGAGACUGCCGGGGACAACUCGGAGGAAGGUGGGGACGACGUCAAAUCAUCAUGCCCCUUAUGACCUGGGCUACACACGUGCUACAAUGGUGGCAACAAAGAGGUGCGAAGCCGUAAGGCGGAGCGGAUCUCAAAAAAGCCAUCCCAGUUCGGAUUGUGGGCUGCAACCCGCCCACAUGAAGUUGGAGUUGCUAGUAAUCGCGAAUCAGCAUGUCGCGGUGAAUACGUUCCCGGGCCUUGUACACACCGCCCGUCACACCAUGGGAGUUGGGAGCACCCGAAGUCAGUGAGCUAACGAAAGAGGCAGCUGCCGAAGGUGAGACCGAUGACUGGGGUGAAGUCGUAACAAGGUAGCGUA